rnacentral:rRNA from 1 species
GCGUUAUUCGGACUCACUGGGCGUAAAGCGUGCGCAGGCGGUUAUGUAAGACAGGGGUGAAAUCCCCGGGCUUAACCUGGGAAUUGCAUUUGUGACUGCAUGGCUAGAGUGUGUCAGAGGGGGGUAGAAUUCCACGUGUAGCAGUGAAAUGCGUAGAUAUGUGGAGGAAUACCGAUGGCGAAGGCAGCCCCCUGGGAUAACACUGACGCUCAUGCACGAAAGCGUG